GGCUCUUACACUCUUUCUGCCUCCUCUUCAACAAGUGAACCCUGAGGGAAGGGAUUAACGGAGACAACAGCUUUUGAGCUGAGUGUUUGAAGUUUCCUAUCAGAAUCUCAGAAGACAAGGUACCUAGAAACUCAAGAGGGUCUUGAACAAUCAACACAGACCCUUUAGGAGGGUAGUACCAAGAAGGCUCUUCAGGGCUGGAGAGAUGGCUCCGCCAUUGAAGGCUAGGCUCACAACCAAAAAUAUAAGAAGGCUCUUCAGGGACAAAACUGAAGGAACUAAUUAAUAUGUAAAUAAACUUAUCU